AUUGAACGCUGGCGGCAGGCCUAACACAUGCAAGUCGAGCGGAUGAAGGGAGCUUGCUCCUGGAUUCAGCGGCGGACGGGUGAGUAAUGCCUAGGAAUCUGCCUGGUCGUGGGGGAUAACGUCCGGAAACGGGCGCUAAUACCGCAUACGUCCUGAGGGUGAACGUGGGGGAUCUUCGGACCUCACGCUAUCAGAUGAGCCUAGGUCGGAUUAGCUAGUUGGUUGGGUAAGGGCGUACCAAGGCGACGAUCCGUAACUGGUCUGAGAGGAUGAUCAGUCACACUGGAACUGAGACACGGUCCAGACUCCUACGGGAGGCAGCAGUGGGGAAUAUUCGACAAUGGGCGAAAGCCUGAUCCAGCCAUGCCGCGUGUGUGAAGAAGGUCUUCGGAUUGUAAAGCACUUUAAGUUGGGAGGAAGGGCAGUAAGUUAAUACCUUGAUGUUUUGACGUUACCAACAGAAUAAGCACCGGCUAACUUCGUG
rnacentral:rRNA from 1 species